rnacentral:rRNA from 1 species
GAUGAACGCUGGCGGCGUGCCUAAUACAUGCAAGUCGAGCGAACGGACGAGAAGCUUGCUUCUCUGAUGUUAGCGGCGGACGGGUGAGUAACACGUGGAUAACCUACCUAUAAGACUGGGAUAACUUCGGGAAACCGGAGCUAAUACCGGAUAAUAUUUUGAACCGCAUGGUUCAAAAGUGAAAGACGGUCUUGCUGUCACUUAUAGAUGGAUCCGCGCUGCAUUAGCUAGUUGGUAAGGUAACGGCUUACCAAGGCAACGAUGCAUAGCCGACCUGAGAGGGUGAUCGGCCACACUGGAACUGAGACACGGUCCAGACUCCUACGGGAGGCAGCAGUAGGGAAUCUUCCGCAAUGGGCGAAAGCCUGACGGAGCAACGCCGCGUGAGUGAUGAAGGUCUUCGGAUCGUAAAACUCUGUUAUUAGGGAAGAACAUAUGUGUAAGUAACUGUGCACAUCUUGACGGUACCUAAUCAGAAAGCCACGGCUAACUACGUGCCAGCAGCCGCGGUAAUACGUAGGUGGCAAGCGUUAUCCGGAAUUAUUGGGCGUAAAGCGCGCGUAGGCGGUUUUUUAAGUCUGAUGUGAAAGCCCACGGCUCAACCGUGGAGGGUCAUUGGAAACUGGAAAACUUGAGUGCAGAAGAGGAAAGUGGAAUUCCAUGUGUAGCGGUGAAAUGCGCAGAGAUAUGGAGGAACACCAGUGGCGAAGGCGACUUUCUGGUCUGUAACUGACGCUGAUGUGCGAAAGCGUGGGGAUCAAACAGGAUUAGAUACCCUGGUAGUCCACGCCGUAAACGAUGAGUGCUAAGUGUUAGGGGGUUUCCGCCCCUUAGUGCUGCAGCUAACGCAUUGAGCACUCCGCCUGGGGAGUACGACCGCAAGGUUGAAACUCAAAGGAAUUGACGGGGACCCGCACAAGCGGUGGAGCAUGUGGUUUAAUUCGAAGCAACGCGAAGAACCUUACCAAAUCUUGACAUCCUUUGACAACUCUAGAGAUAGAGCCUUCCCCUUCGGGGGACAAAGUGACAGGUGGUGCAUGGUUGUCGUCAGCUCGUGUCGUGAGAUGUUGGGUUAAGUCCCGCAACGAGCGCAACCCUUAAGCUUAGUUGCCAUCAUUAAGUUGGGCACUCUAAGUUGACUGCCGGUGACAAACCGGAGGAAGGUGGGGAUGACGUCAAAUCAUCAUGCCCCUUAUGAUUUGGGCUACACACGUGCUACAAUGGACAAUACAAAGGGCAGCGAAACCGCGAGGUCAAGCAAAUCCCAUAAAGUUGUUCUCAGUUCGGAUUGUAGUCUGCAACUCGACUACAUGAAGCUGGAAUCGCUAGUAAUCGUAGAUCAGCAUGCUACGGUGAAUACGUUCCCGGGUCU